rnacentral:rRNA from 1 species
UACGGAGGGUGCAAGCGUUAAUCGGAAUUACUGGGCGUAAAGCGCACGUAGGCGGCUUUGCAAGUCAGAGGUGAAAGCCCGGGGCUCAACCCCGGAAUUGCCUUUGAGACUGCAUCGCUAGAAUUGUGGAGAGGUAAGUGGAAUUCCGAGUGUAGAGGUGAAAUUCGUAGAUAUUCGGAAGAACACCAGUGGCGAAGGCGACUUACUGGACACAUAUUGACGCUGAGGUGCGAAAGCGUGGGGAGCAAACAGG